UUUUGCAUGAUGAAAUGAAUCAGAUGGAUUCCCAAUGAUUUCUCUAUUUUUAGGGGAUAAUAUCACAAGCUAUUUCUGACUCAU